ACCAUGUCUCAUUUGUAAAUAUUUGCCAUUUUUGUUUGUGUUCUUUUGUGGAUUAAUUGGACAUGAUGGUUCAAAUGUGAGAGAUAUCUAGGCAUAGGUCACUUACAGCUUGCUGUAUGGCAUGAAUAUCUCUCACAUAUGGACCAUGUAUAUAUAAUAUAUGUGUUAUUCUGUACAUUUUGUUUCUGAAGCCACAUUUAAUGUGUACAUUGAUUUUAGACGGUGGUUCAUAUGUGAGAGAGAUCCAUGCAUAGGUCACUUACAGCGUGCUGUAUGGCAUGGAUAUCUGUCACAUAUGAACCAUGUGUCAUUUGUAAAUAUUUGCCUUUUUUGUGUUUGUUUUUAGCUCUCCUGAGCACAACGUGCUCAUGGUGAGCUUUUGUGAUCGCCUUUUUUCCAUCGUGCGUGGUGCGUCGUCAACAUUUGCCUUGUGAACACUCUAGAGGCCACAUUUAUUGUCUGAUCCUCAUGGAAUUUGGUCAGAACAUUUGUCCCAUUGAUACCUCGACUGAGUUUGAAACUGGGUCAUGCUGGGUCAAAAACUAGGUCA